GACGAAGGGGGCUAGCGUUGUUCGGAAUUACUGGGCGUAAAGCGCGUGUAGGCGGUUGUUGCGUCGGGAGUGAAAAUUCACAGCUUAACUGUGAACUUGCUUCCGAUACGGGCAGACUUGAGGUAUUCAGGGGGAGAACGGAAUUCCUGGUGUAGCGGUGGAAGUGCGCAGAGUAUCAGGAGGAACACCGAUGGCGAAGGCAGGUCUCUGGGCCAUUACUGACACUGAGAAGCGAAAGCAUGGGGGAGCGAACAGGA
rnacentral:rRNA from 1 species